GGCGAACGCUGGCGGCGUGCCUAAUACAUGCAAGUCGAGCGAGUCUGCCUUGAAGAUCGGAGUGCUUGCACUCUGUGAAACAAGAUACAGGCUAGCGGCGGACGGGUGAGUAACACGUGGGUAACCUGCCCAAGAGAUCGGGAUAACACCUGGAAACAGAUGCUAAUACCGGAUAACAACAGAUGAUGCCUAUCAACUGUUUAAAAGAUGGUUCUGCUAUCACUCUUGGAUGGACCUGCGGUGCAUUAGCUAGUUGGUAGGGUAACGGCCUACCAAGGCGAUGAUGCAUAGCCGAGUUGAGAGACUGAUCGGCCACAUUGGGACUGAGACACGGCCCAAACUCCUACGGGAGGCAGCAGUAGGGAAUCUUCCACAAUGGACGCAAGUCUGAUGGAGCAACGCCGCGUGAGUGAAGAAGGGUUUCGGCUCGUAAAGCUCUGUUGUUGGUGAAGAAGGACAGGGGUAGUAACUGACCUUUGUUUGACGGUAAUCAAUUAGAAAGUCACGGCUAACUACGUGCCAGCAGCCGCGGUAAUACGUAGGUGGCAAGCGUUGUCCGGAUUUAUUGGGCGUAAAGCGAGUGCAGGCGGCUCGAUAAGUCUGAUGUGAAAGCCUUCGGCUCAACCGGAGAAUUGCAUCAGAAACUGUCGAGCUUGAGUACAGAAGAGGAGAGUGGAACUCCAUGUGUAGCGGUGAAAUGCGUAGAUAUAUGGAAGAACACCGGUGGCGAAGGCGGCUCUCUGGUCUGUUACUGACGCUGAGGCUCGAAAGCAUGGGUAGCGAACAGG
rnacentral:rRNA from 1 species